AAUACGAUAAAAAUAAAGUACAUAUUUGUUGUUUUGUCGCACCUUUAACUGCCGUCGAACACAACAGGCCGAUGAGGCAGACCCAGGCAAGCGUCAUCUUGAAGUUGCUCGUUGAUUCCAUGCACAUCACAAAAAAAAGCACUGUCUAACUUCCUUGUUGAAAAACGAACUGCCCGAUAAUUCAAACAGCGCGUUCUAACCGGACGGAGCACAAAACUUAGCAACGAAACUGACGCAAGCGUGAUUAAUAUGAACCACGAGGAUAAAAUGAGGUAACGAACGAGAGACGUGCGACGUCAAUUCGAAUAUAAGUGCCCGACUCGACGCGAGUGCCAACCAGAUAGCUCGACGCGCGAAGACCGUCUGCCGCGCGCUUUGCUUUCGGCCCACUUCGUGAGACAUCGGCAGAAGCCGAGAUCGCCCGAACGCCCCGAUCCCCCGAUAGCGCCGUUUGAUAUCGUCCACCGUUGUACCUACUUUCGUACUUUCGUGCCUAACCUACGUACACACGCACUUUACCGUAUGUCUGAUAUUAUGUGUUUAUUUUGUAUACACGUUCGCAUCGACGAUUCUCUACCUGGAGAAUGGAUUUACAGGAAUGUUUUUGUUUCAGUAAAAAUUUCACGUUCAAGAAUUAUUAACCCUGAUUAAAACAAAAACCUAAGAAAUCGUUUCACGGUCUAGAGGUUACACGUCGAGGAAGAAAUUACCAAUAAAGACCCGAAGGAAAGGAAUGAAAGAUAUAUCAGAAUAGGAUUCAUGUUUAAAAAAAAAAUUAUCACGAUAUGAAAGUAAAGAAAAGAAACUAAACCUAUGUCAAGAUAGGAAGGAUCGUACACAGGUAUAAUGAUAUUGUGAAACGACCGACACGGUUAGACCAGAUGCAACUACAAAGCGUGCAAGUGUAUCGCCAUGUGCAUUAUGACAAUGCUUUCCUAUCGAUGUUUACUCGACGAUAACGUUGCUGGGUCUUACGAAUGCGAUUCUACACGAUGGUGUACGUGACCGAUAUGUCGAAGGCGUGCCGUCUGGGACCGCAGAAGCUGCAACGGCAUAUACUAAGAAGACGUACACUAAGAACCACAGUUCCGGAAUUUAUCAGGUAAGAUAGUACCCACUUCCAGCAGACUCGAUGCAUGUUAUGUGGAUGAGAAUACAAGCUCUAGGGAGCGUAUGCUCUUAACUGGUGCGCUUAAAACUUUUACGUUCUUUUUACAAUGAGUUUUUAGCACGAAAUGUAAAUUCAUUUCCUUUUUUCUUAAAGUUCCAGUCCUCGAGAUAGAUAGCAAUUUUAAAGUUUCGUAGUAUGUAUACAUGGGAACAUGGAGAAAUUUUCACUCGAAAUCUCAUUUCGAAUUCCAUUUUAAUUUUUUUUUUUUUUUUUUUUUUUCUUAUCUUGAAAUCUAAUUCUCGUCUCGAGAAAUCGUUACGAUCGAUGUUCAAACAAUAUUAAUAGGAAUUAUUGAUGAUAAUUCGGUCAGACAAACCGGUAAAUCGUUACAAACCGUUAUGCACAAACUUUUCACGUUUGUUUCUUUGUCGAAACGGCAAAUUAGGUUUAUCGUACGGAUGAAUUAUAACAAACGGUGAUCACGGUAACGUUAACAUUAUCGUUAAAGUAGUUAUGGAUAGUAAGAUCUUUAAAGCGAAGUUCUAGUUUGCGGUCAAGCAAUCUCCAUACCAGACCACCGUUUCUGUAUCACGAUAGAGGAACACUUCUAUGGAUUCAGCUAAUCGAGUUGGCAACUAUUGUGUAAGCACACACGUACACAUAAUCAUGUUACCGGCAGGCAGUCGAACCCGUUGUCGUCGUCCAAAACGACUAUAUGACUAGUAAAAUGCUAUAGCAUUUUUAUUACACCUAUUACAUACUAUGAUGUAAGUAUGAUGUAUACGAGAUUCAUGCAAGUAUAGUCUGAUAAACACCCUGAAAACAAAUAUUUGCCUCGAGCCUAUGAUUUUAAAACGACACGAUACACAAAUUUUUUUUAUUGUAACAUUAUUUUAAAAUACUUUAAAAUUGAAUUGAAUGCAUUAAAUGUUAAUGGGAAAAAUUCUUGACUAGAGAUCUAAAUUACAUCACUAUAAUAAUCACUAUAGCGAUAUUCAUUCGUCACGAUGAAUACGGUGAAUCAAGAUUUGGACUCACUAAUUUUCUCUUUGAUUAAUCACCGGUAGCUACUGGUCGCAAAAAUGUGGACUAAAAAACGAGCAUGGAAUAUCUCGGUAUAUAUACUUCAUCAUAAGCAUAUUGACUAAUGAAAAAUUAUAUAU